rnacentral:lncRNA from 12 species
CUUGGCUCAACCAUGUGAGAUAUUUUGUAAAGCAAAUGGACACACUGCCCUCUUACAUCCCCAAAUGCUCAAAUUAUAAAACUAGCUUCAUUACUUAAGCCGAUGGUAAUCUUUCUGCUUUGCCCGAAUAACUGCUACAGUCUUUAAUUAGAUGGGUUGGCAAAAGUGUCCCAGGAGUUACACUAGCUGUCUUUAUUGUAUUUCUUUAUCCCACUGACUUGAAUUAAAAUGGAAUGUGCUACAAUCUGCGGCUGCACGUGAGCUGGUGGUGGAGCUAUUUGAGACAAUUCCUAAGGUUGACUAGCGGAGCCCAAAUUGGGGGGGGGGUCUCAUGGAUGAAUCCAUUUUAGACAUUAAUUUGGAGACUGAGCUAGGUUUAUUAACUUUUGCUUUUGUCAACUAAGGCUAUUAAAACAACAACGAAGGACAAAAUGAAUAAGAAUCAACAACCACCACGUGCCGGUGACAGCAUUUACAUUUUCUAUCUUGUCAAAUAAGAAUAUUAAAACAACGACCAAAAAAUAAAAAAAUAAAAAAUAAAACAACGACCAACUAAAUAUACCAAAAACCCACCUCCAAAUCAACAUCUGUAACAACCACGUACUAGUGGUCCUGUUUACCAAAGUGAAGAACAUUUCCCAAACUAAGAAGGUAGAGAGCGUAAGAUGUCAUGAUUACACCAGUGGGUUCUGUGUUUUGAGUGCUGUGUGCCGGGCAUGUUCUUAAAUGUUGCAUAUGUGUGAAGUCAAUUAAUUCCCACAAAAAAAACUGUAAGGCUUUUCAUUAUACAGGAGGAGACACUGAGGUACCAGGGUAGGCAGUGAGGCUGGGAGUUGAACUCGUGAGUCUGGCUCUGCAGUGCAUGAUGUUGUGAUCUUGAACAUCCUAUGAUCCUGCAUCUCUAACAAGACGGUCCUUUUCAAAAAAGCAACCUCAGCAAACUGAGUGUGUGCAGAUGUUUUUAUUCUGUUUUUUUUUCUGUGUUGCUUCAGACCUGUGACAACAUCAUCACAGAGCAGUCUGGACCGGCAUUUGAGAAGCCCUACUGCAGCUGACGGCGCUCCGCCAGCAAGGGACCAGAAUAGAAAUGGAUGGUGCUGUUUCCGGAGGGAAUUCCUAAGUUUAUAUCAGAAAUUAUAUGACUCAUUUUAUUUUAAGUUAACUCCACAUCCAGCAUGGAGCGCAACGUGGGGCUUGAACACACAAUCCUGAGAUCAAGACUGAAGCUGAGAUCAAGAACCAGACACUUAACCAACUGAGCCACCCAGGUGCCCCAACUCACUUAUUAUUUACUGUCUCAGUCUCUCACACUAGGAUGAAAAUUCCAUAAGGGUAGCUGGUAUCUUCUUUAAUAUUGUAUCUCUGUGUACUAGAACCAUGCCUGGCAUAUAGGUCUCUCGAGGAAAACACAUUUAUUUGAUUGAAUGACUAAAUCAAGUUCUUGAUAAGGACGUUUAAUUUUGUUCUGAGUGCAUAAUAAGGGCAGCCAAAGAAUUUUGUAGCAGAGUAAGAUGACCAGAUUUACAUGUUAGAAAGACACUCGGGCAGCACUGUGUGCUUACCAUUAGCAACCAGGAAAUUCAAUUUACUUUUGGACGUAAAUUGAGAACACCAGCAAAUGUCAUUUGGAGCAAAGAAAGCCAGGAGACUUGAAGAAAUUAGGGAUCAGAAGACUAAUAGAAAGAAAGAGAGAAAGAAAGAAAACAUAACAGGGAGAGAUCUGUGAAAACA